rnacentral:sRNA from 1 species
UAAACAUAACUGAGUAUGAACAUAUCCUUCCUGGAACUAAUUUCCAAGCAUUUAUAAUUUAUUAAAACAGUAUUCUAGUUGAAUGACUUAAGGUACACAAUAUUUAAAGAUCAUGUGACACUUGCUGAUUAUGAAAUACAUGAUGGAAUGAAUCUGGAGCUAUAUUACCAGUGACAGUCUGCAU